rnacentral:rRNA from 1 species
UACAGAGGGGGCAAGCGUUGUUCGGAAUUACUGGGCGUAAAGGGCGCGUAGGCGGCCUUCUAAGUCGAACGUGAAAUCCCCGGGCUCAACCCGGGAACUGCGUCCGAGACUGAAAGGCUUGAAUCCGGGAGAGGGAUGUGGAAUUCCAGGUGUAGCGGUGAGAUGCGUAGAUAUCUGGAGGAACAUCGGUGGCGAAGGCGGCAUCCUGGACCGGUAUUGACGCUGAGGCGCGAAAGCCAGGGGAGCAAACGGG